CUCAUUUUUCUAAUAAAAAUAAUUAUCAUAUAUAUAUAUAUAUAUAUAUAUAUAUAUAUAUAUAUAUAUAUUGGAAUCAGAUCCUAGAAAAAUUGAUUGGAAUCAGAUCGAAAGAGAGAGCCUUUUCUCUCGUUCUUUGCAUUAUUUUUCAUCGUUACGACCGGAUUUUCGCUGAUAGGUAGCGACGUGAUCAAAGGAGACCACUUUUCCUCACUCUUUGCAUUAGUUGUAGCCCGGUUUUGCAUAUUAGAAGACCUAGUUUUGGCCCAUCGUUUUCACUUGUCCGCCGGUCCAUUCCCUGAAGUGCGAUGGGCAUGUAGAACUGGAUCUUUUCGUGGAUGCCUGUCAGCUGUUUGCAGAAAUUUCGAACAGAAAUAGGGUGUUCACCUGAAUUCGGGCUCAUGCCGAGUGCAACAGAUGCAGAGCUGGUUGGCAUGACUGCGUCGGGAUAUCCAUCUCUCUCAGCUUCUCAAAGUCUCUACUCAGCUUUGAUGGACCUUGGAUGGCAUCUAGUUUAUCUUUCAUAUGAAGCUACCUGCUAGCAGCCUUUCACUAUUUCUCAUAGUCAAAAUCCUACACAAUUUCAGAAGAGGAGGAAUCAAAGGAAAAUGACACAUCUUUUGUCACAUUUCUUUUUUUCUGAAAUUCUCAAAAUUACUAUAGUUUCUCUUUGGUAAAACACCUGAAGUCGUCUUUGUUAAGCUGUUCGAUAGACAUAGGAUCUUCAAUCAUUUUAUGCUAUAACUUCUGGUAUCCUGAUUCUGAUCUCGAUCCUGGUUUCGAGAUUAUCUUGCAAUUAGUUACUACUCUUGAGGUGCUUCUCUCUACUUAUCUCAUUUUGCUUUUCUUCCUAAAUAGAUGCUGAUUUUUUGUUCUUCUACUGUUGUAGCAAUUGAAGAAAAAAAAUGCAUUCCUUCCCGGAUUUAGCUACUCUAUUUUUCUUCAAUUUGUAUGACAUAUGUUGGCACAUUAGUUACUUAACCAGAGGCACAUGACUUUUUCUUUUUUGAUAAUAUUCUUUCACUUCUAGAUUUGCUUUAGUAGAAUCUAUCCUGGCAUUUUGGUACACCAGCAAAACUUGAAACAAAAUUUGGCCAUAUUGUUGGCAUUUGACUGCAUUGCAAUUUACAAUACAUUCAAGUAAUCAUUCCUUUAGGCUACAACAAAUGAAGCCUCGUCUUUUUGCCCCUUAAAAUUUGUGUGUUGCCUUGUUACUCUUAGUUCGAUAAGCAUUUUAGAUUGACACAAGUACUAGUGUAGUCGAUAACUGAAGUAUAUCAAUUCAUCAUUUAGUCAAUAUGGUGGGGCAUUUUUUCUUCUCAAUCCCUCACAGUUCCUUCUUAACUCUAGAAUGGUGCCAUCAAGAGAAACACUGUCCGGUCAAGAUGUUGGCGGGGCCCUAGGUUCUGACAAUUUGCAGUUGUCAUGAUAAGGGUGUCAAGAACUAAUGUAGCUGCUAAAUCAAACAUUUCAAAAAUGUUAUUGUCCAUGCACAUGCAUUGCUUUUCUUAGCAGGCAGAGGCCACCAUGCUAGUCCUAUUUACAUGUUCUUUUCAUCUUCACAGAAGCCACCUUUCAAGCUUUGGACCAUACCCAAGAGCUCCAGAUCCUUCAACAUGAUACAUUGCAUUCAGUGCAUGCCAUCUGCAGGUCAACAGUUGCAGACAGUUGUUUCUGCCACCCUGUCCGGAAACAAUUUGGCAAAAUGGGCACACCAUUCUCAGAAAGCAAGCCAUUCAGAGAAUCCAGUCAUGAAGAAGUGAGGAGCAUGACUCAUCUGCAAGACACCUUGCUUCAUAGCCAUGAAACUCGUGCCAUCAGAGAAGUGUUUCAUGGCAUCUAUGAGCAGCUUGAUAUGUCUCAUAUGGAUACUUGCAGAAGUUGAUCACUCCUACCAAUGAUUGUGGGAGCGUUUAGAUGCUAUCCCACUCGAUGAAGAGAUCUCGAAAGGGAUGAACAGAUUGCAAUGUGCAUGUCGAGAUCACUCCACAUAUCAUUAUUGGCAGAAUCUUUCUCCAAAUAGAUUGGACAAAGCUCAUCUUUGUCAAAGGUGAAGCAGGCUGUGGACAAGGCUUGACCUCUUGUGGGCAAGGGCGAAGCAUGGGGAGACUUAAAGCUUGUAAAAGACAAAGGAGCAGCAGCCAUGUGGGAAUCAGUCACCCAUCCACCUCAAGGACAGCCCAUGCCUGCAUCAAGACGCCAUGCAAGCAUUUAUAUCCAUUGGCGGCUUCCCCUCCCUCGCCACGCCCCCCACCAUGCAGCCGUGCCUCCAUCCCCUCCUCCUCCUCCUCCUCUGCCGCCGCCGCCGCCGGGGCCCAGCAGCCGCGGCCGUGAGCCCGCAGUGGCGCUCGAUCUUAUCACUUUGGCUUCCGGAGCUACAGGAGCCAUGGCAGGAAGCAACUCCUGAGACAACACUUUGUGCUUCGCUGCCAUGCGAUCCAUGUUUACGUUGUUGCUUUCUCUAUCAUAGCCCAAGUAACAUGUUUCACCCUCGAUGACUCCAUGUACAGAUUAUUCACAAUGCAAUAGUAACUCUAUGGAAUGCACUGUUCUUCCACAAAGGUCUCAUCGAUGGCUGA